rnacentral:rRNA from 1 species
CGGGUGCACUGAUCCGGCCGGGCCUUUCCCUCUGUGGAACCCCAUGGCCUUCACUGGCUGUGCGGGGGAAACAGGACUUUUACUGUGAAAAAAUUGGAGUGCUCCAGGCAGGCCUAUGCUCGAAUACAUUAGCAUGGAAUAAUAGAAUAGGACGCGUGGUUCUAUUUUGUUGGUUUCUAGGACCGCCGUAAUGAUUAAUAGGGACAGUCGGGGGCAUCAGUAUUCAAUUGUCAGAGGUGAAAUUCUUGGAUCUAUUGAAGACUAACUACUGCGAAAGCAUUUGCCAAGGAUGUUUUCAUUGAUAAGGAACGAAAGUUAGGGGAUCGAAGACGAUCAGAUACCGUCGUAGUCUUAACUAUAAACUAUGCCGACUAGGGAUCGGACGAUGUUAUUUCUUGACGCGUUCGGCACCUUUCGAGAAAUCAAAGUGCUUGGGCUCCAGGGGGAGUAUGGUCGCAAGGCUGAAACUUAAAGAAAUUGACGGAAGGGCACCACCAGGGGUGGAACCUGCGGCUUAAUUUGACUCAACACGGGGAAACUCACCAGGUCCAGACACAGUGAGGAUUGACAGAUUGAGAGCUCUUUCUUGAUUCUGUGGGUGGUGGUGCAUGGCCGUUCUUAGUUGGUGGAGUGAUUUGUCUGCUUAAUUGCGAUAACGAACGAGACCUUAACCUGCUAAAUAGCCCGUACUGCUCUGGCAGUUCGCCGGCUUCUUAGAGGGACUAUCGG